GAUGAACGCUGGCGGCGUGCCUAAUACAUGCAAGUCGAACGCACAGCGAAAGGUGCUUGCACUUUUCAAGUGAGUGGCGAACGGGUGAGUAACACGUGGACAACCUGCCUCAAGGCUGGGGAUAACAUUUGGAAACAGAUGCUAAUACCGAAUAAAACUCAGUGUCGCAUGACACAAAGUUAAAAGGCGCUUUGGCGUCACCUAGAGAUGGAUCCGCGGUGCAUUAGUUAGUUGGUGGGGUAAAGGCCUACCAAGACAAUGAUGCAUAGCCGAGUUGAGAGACUGAUCGGCCACACUGGGACUGAGACACGGCCCAAACUCCUACGGGAGGCUGCAGUAGGGAAUCUUCCACAAUGGGCGAAAGCCUGAUGGAGCAACGCCGCGUGUGUGAUGAAGGCUUUCGGGUCGUAGAGCACUGUUGUAUGGGAAGAACAGCUAGAAUAGGGAAUGAUUUUAGUUUGACGGUACCAUACCAGAAAGGGACGGCUAAAUACGUGCCAGCCGCCGCAGUAA
rnacentral:rRNA from 1 species